UGAGGAUAGAACCCAGUGCCUCAUGCAUGCCAGGUCUCUCUCUGGACAGUGACCAUAAACUUCAGUCCUACGUGACAGGACUUCAGUCCAGAGAAAUAGAGCUGGCCUUCUGUGGACUGAGACAUCUGAAACCCUUACCUUUCAUUCCAUGAGCAAUACCAGCAGAGCAGGUACAAAUACAGACAUCCCUGGUGUUUCCUGCACUACCAUAGAGAACCCGCUUUUUUUCUAGACCACUUUGACAAUUCUGUCAACCAUGUCUUGGUGAAAUAAAGAGAGCACACACUGGCCUGGGGUUGUGGCUCAGUGGUAAAGUACUCACCUAGCAUGUGUGAAGCACUGGAUUUGAUCCUCGGCACCACCUUAAAAUGAAGAAUAAUUCAUCAGUGAGCUCAUCUUGACCUGAGCCGGGAAUUGACUUCUAACAAUUAUAUGAGCUUGGAAGAGUAUCCUUCCUCUACUGAGCCUGCAGUUCAGAACAUAGUAGUCUUCAUUAUCUACAUCGAAUUCCUGACAGAAAUUGUAUGGAGUAAACUGACCAUGGAUUAACCUUCUGAAACUGAGUUCAUGCUAAGAGUUUUCCUUGAGUCGCAGAGGAGACUUUUAGACUGUUAAGACUAUGGAGACUUUGCAAAUAAGCUAAGUGUACUUUUAAAAAUUCUUUUUAGUUGUACAUGGACACAACAUCUUUUUAUGUAUUUAUUUUUAUGUGGUGCCAAGAACUGAACACAGCUCCUCACAUGUGGGAGGCAAGUGCUAUACCACUGAGCUAUGGUCCUAGCCCAAGCUAAGUGUAUUUUGCAUUGUGAGACGGGAAUGAGCUUUGGGGCACCAAUGGGGAAAUGUUUUGGUUUAGUUAUGAGGUAUCUCCCAAAAGCACAUGUAUGAAACAAUGCAAAAGUAUUCAGAGGUGAAAUGAUUGAAUUGUGAGACUGAUAAGCUAAUUAGUGGAUUGCACCACUGAUAUAGAUCAAGGGGACAGCAACUGUAGGCAGGUAGGUUGUAACUGGAAGAAGUAGGUCAUUGUAUAGAGGAAAAUGAUGGAAUCAAACUUAACUAUGGUUACUGGAACAGGUUUAUUAUCUGUAGAGCACUUCUUAAUUUUGAUAAUUAGUGAUUCAUCUCAUUAAGGAGUAUAUAAAAUUCUGAAUACACACACACACACACACACACACACACACACACACACACUUGCCUAGCAAGUGCAAGCCCCUAGGUUUGAUCCCUAGAACCCUCCCACCCCACCGCCCAAAAAAAGCUAAUUUAUUUUAGUUUUAAACAAUGUAUUCAACUUGUCAGGAAACUGUCAUGAAUUUUCAAAUAAAUGCAAUGACUACAUUUAAAAAAAAAAAAGAAAUAGGACACUGGGGACAUGUAUUUGAGGUUUACAUUUUAUUCCUGGUGAGCAGACUUCUCUUUCUCUCUCUCUUUCUUCCCCAUAUUUUCCAUGUCCUGAACUGUUUUCCUCUGCCACACCUUUCCACCAGGAUGUUCUGCCUCACCUCAGGGCCAGAGCUAUGGUAUCAGCUGACCAUGGACUGAAACUCUAACGCCCUAAGCCUCUACAUUGUUCUUGUCAGAACUUUUAGUCACAGGGCCGAAAAAGCUAACUAUAAUGUUUUUUUUUUCUUUUUUUAAUUUUUGCUUGACUAAUAAUAUUUGUAUGUAUUUAUGGAGCAAAAUGUAGAGAGUGUGUGUGAGUGUGUGAGUGUGUGUGUGUGUGUGUGUGUAUCAAAUUGGGGGAUUAUCAAAUCAGACCAAUUAGCAUAUAUAUCACCUAAAACAAUUAUCAUUUCUUUGGGGAGAAUUCAUUUAAAGCUUUUUUCUGGAAAUAUUUACUACAUUAUUUUUUUUUUAAAGAGAGAGUGAGAGAGAGGGAGAGAAAGAGAGAAUAUUUUUAAUAUUUAUUUCUUUUAGUUAUUGGCGGACACAACAUCUUUGUUGGUAUGUGGUGCUGAGGAUGGAACCCAGGCCGAACGCAUGCCAGGCGAGCACGCUACUGCUUGAGCCACAUCCCCAGCCCACUACAUUAUUAUUAACUAAGAUCAUCAUACUGUGCAAUGGAUCACCAGAACUUAUCAUAUCUGUCUAAUUUAGUAACUUUGAACAGCAUCUCCCAUUUUCUCACAUACUCACCAAACAUGCCUCUGUGCUGGGGAUUGAACCCAGGACUCAUAGCAUGAUCAAUGACCCAUAUCUCAAGUCACUGUGCCACAUGGCAACACUGUGUACAUGGGAACUGGGCUUUGUUUCACACCAGAAUUAUAGCUUCAGUGAGAAAACUAGCUCCUUGGACCUAAAGACAUGGAGUGAGCGAUAGAGACAACCUGAAGUUCAACUCACUUCUGACAUCAGGAUGGCAGAUAAUUAGGUGCUGUUACUUUGGGCCUUUGUAAUUGAAGAAACCUUCUCACCCUUCCAAGCUCAUAUUUCACUCCUUGGGGGAAAAAAAGACUCAUUUAAAUUCUUUAUCUUCAUAGAAAUAAAAGUGUGGAGGGGCAAAGUAUAUGAACUAACCACAUAUCAUAUGCGCAUCUGGAAAAGAAGUGACAUGUCAAAAUGAAAACCAAGGGUCAAUGAGUUCUUGAGUGCUCAGGGUUAAGAGAAAAAAGAGACACAUGCAAAACUAUCUACAUAGGUGAUUUUACACUGCAAAACAAAGUAAAAAUAUGUUUAUUUUACUGAUGCUAGAGUGCAUAUUUUCACAUUUCAUGUAGAAAUGUAUCUUAAAUUUGUUAUUGUAACAAUAUGCUUGCCUGGAAGGCAAUCAUAAUGUGGUUGUCUUUAUAUAUCUAUAAACACAGUCUUAAAAACUCCCAUUGGCAUCUUCAGUGAUACCACCAAAAUAGAACUUUGCCAGAGAGAAUAUCAGUAGGAUGUAAAGAUCAUCUCCCAGAAAUUAUUGUAGAACACUCUCAAGAAAUGUGGCAUCAACAAUGUCUCCAUUAGCACAGAUGAUGAUAAUGUGGAUAAUAUCAUAGACAGGAUGAGUGAAGGAGUUUGAUCCGGAUGGUAUAAAUAUUAGUAAUAUCUGUUAAUGUACUAUUUUGCUUAUAUUUUCUAUCACAUGUAAUUGUAAGAGUGGUAUAGGUGGUACAUACCUGUAAUUCCAUUGACUCAGGAGGCUGA